rnacentral:lncRNA from 1 species
AUCUAAACCCGUUGCACCAUAUAACCCCGUCCCGUAAAAUUAAACAUCAUUUGUUAUUUUUUUUGAAUAAUAUUUUUAUCCACUACGGGUUGCAGGUUCAUGCGGAUAAGCCCGUAGAGAGUUGCGGGUUUGCGGAUCGACCCGCCAAAAGAGAAGCUAUCUUUUGAAACCCUUUGUUUUGUUUAGAGGUUUUAAGAAAAUAU